rnacentral:rRNA from 1 species
CGAUGAAGGACGUGCUAAUCUGCGAAAAGCGUCGGUAAGGUGAUAUGAACCGUUAUAACCGGCGAUGUCCGAAUGGGGAAACCCAGUGCAAUUCGUUGCACUAUCGUUAACUGAAUACAUAGGUUAACGAGGCGAACCGGGGGAACUGAAACAUCUAAGUACCCCGAGGAAAAGAAAUCAACCGAGAUUCCCCCAGUAGCGGCGAGCGAACGGGGAGCAGCCCAGAGUCUGAAUCAGCUUGUGUGUUAGUGGAACGGUCUGGAAAGUCCGACGGUACAGGGUGAUAGUC